AAAUAUGUUUAAAUUUAAAAAAGGAAAAAAAGAAAAAAAACCCUUUAGUAGGGUUUUAAGUCCGCAAAAAUAACUGUGAGAGAGGGAAUUUAGAAGUUAAUUUUUGGCGGAAAAUAUGGAAGAACCGCAAGAGGCAGGCGUAGGAGGUCCCUUUUCGUUCCCUCCUCAUCGCCGAUCGCAUCUCAGGAGCGUAACUUACCGUAAUCUUGUUCGACUCAUGUCCCUUUGUUACGGCGAUUCUCCACUAGCCACUGCCCCUCCCAUUAUUCCUCUUCCACAAACACCUGAUAAUGGUGGUAACGGAGGUGAACAAGGUGGAGAUGAUGUCAGGGAGCCUGGCGAGUCGAUUGUCUCAGAUGGUAGGGAGCCUGUAAGUAUGGUGGCUAAUGGAGGUUCUGAAGGUGCUGUUUUCCGGGACAAGGGCUUGAAUGACACACAAAUGGUAAUAGAUGAAAUUGAGCAGAUAAUGGGAAUGGACGAUGGUCAGGAUUUAUUUGAUCAAAAUGAUAUGAUGGUUAAUAGUAGCAUGGAAGUCAACAGUUUUCAGGAUGGAGAGAUUGGUCGGGAACAAAUGCUAAUGGCUGAUUUAGAAAAUAUCAUGAAAGGCAAUGAAGAUUAUCAUCAGAUUAGUAACUGCUCAGCCGCAACAUUGGGCCAGAAUCAGGGUGAUAAUUGUCCGGGCAUAUUGUUGAAUAAUCAAGAUGAACAUAAUGAUUGUCCACCUGUUGUUAUGGAAUCUGGAACAGUUGGUCAGACACAAGUAGACAUGGAAGGUGGUAAUCAAAAGAAUAUCGACCCCUUUGGAAUCUCUUCAAAUAAGAGUUUGGCAAUUGAAGUAUCAAAAUUGAGUGGGAAAGUCAAAGACCAAAGUUCAUCGUUGAAGACUAACUUGAUGCAUGAGAAAAAUGAAAUUCAGCAAAAAGAGAUGGAAUUGGAGAACAUAAUCCCCUCCAAUGAGGGAAUGUGUUCUCCUGGUCCAGUGGUUGAAAAAGGAGAACUUGAAGAGGGAGAAAUUUUUGGUGAGAGUCUGCUUGUGAAUGAGUCAAUUGAUAUACUCUUAGAUGAUGCUGUAGUAUCAGAAAAAAAGGUAGGUGAUGCUGUGGUAUCAGGAAAAAAGGUGGAGGAGACGCUAAUUUCUGGAGGCACCUUUGAUGACAAACACCCUUAUUGCAAUGAAGAAAGCACCGUUAAUGAUGGAACUUCUGAGUUUACUUUCGUUAAUACAACUGUUGCUCCAAUUGAAAACAAAGUUACACCCGGGGAAUUUAAAGGAAGUGAGACAGGUCAGAUGGUGUGUGAACUAGGAAUGAUGCAAAGAAAGGAAUGUAGUGGAAAGAUUCAGAAGCAAAUUGGACACAAAAAUAAAGUCAUUGAAACUAAAUUGAAGAAGGAUGUUGGUCUCAGCAAUAAGAAAAAGCAAAUUCUGACUCCUGCACAGAAGAAAGAAAAGAAAAAGAAGAAUAAACGAAAGAAAAGAGCAGAGAAAAACCGGCAGCUUGGUGUUAAAAGGUUGAAACUGCAGACAGUUCUGAAACCAAAAACUGUAACAUAUUGUCGCCAUUAUCUGAAAGGAAGAUGUCAUGAGGGCGAGAAGUGCAAAUUUUCACAUGAUACAGUACCUUUGACAAAAUCUCAGCCUUGCAGUCAUUUUGCACGUCAGUCAUGCAUGAAGGGAGAUGAUUGUCCAUUUGAUCACCAGCUCUCCAAGUAUCCCUGUAUCAAUUAUACGACUAAAGGUUCCUGCAGCAGAGGUGAUGAUUGUUUGUUUUCACACAAGAAGCCACUGGAGGGAGAUGUUGCAUCUUUGUCCGUUGCUCCUGAUCUUCCACUGAAGUCAUCAUUGCAGAGUGAUUCUGAUGUAGGACUGAAUAUCAGCAGAGCUCCACCUAAGAAUGCUAAUGCCUUGUCCUAUUCUCUAGGAGGUUUUUCUGACAAAAGCAAAAAACAAAUUGUGGCAGAUACUUCCUCUAAAACACCUAAUCUUGCUUGCAAAGGCGUAAACUCUCUUUUUGUUUCAAGAUCAUCUAUCGCUGAAUCAAUUCAACUUAAUCAAGGCAGCUCAUCUCAAAAGAUGAAUGAAAGUGGAAGAGUUGGAAGUCAAAGUAAUCAAAGGAUGUUAGGCGUCCGUGGUCCUGCUUCAAAGCCAUCUGUGGCAGAAUCAAGUAAAUUUAUCCUAGGUAGCUCAUCUCUGAAGAUGAAUGGAAGUGGCAGACUUGGGAUUCAGGGCCACCAAAGUGAAUCACACACAAUUCAGAAUGGGAAUGAUAGUCCCAAGAAAAAGCCAGAAAUGGUACCAAGGGGUAUAAAUUUUCUAUCGUUUGGAAAAUCUUCUUUAGAAGAUUCCACUAGGAAAGUUAGUUUGGCGAAUGGGGCAGAUGGAUAUAAGCAACAACCCAGUGAUAUUGAAGGUGGUGGAGGUAAAUUCAGCAGUCAGCUUGCCCCAAGUACAUCGAGUACAGAUAAAAAGAAAAGUCAUCCAGCAGUGGUGCCACCGGGAAUAAAUCUCACUCUGGGAAAACUGGUUAGCUCUGGAAGUAGUACAUCAUCUAGCUUGCCUUACUGUUCAGAUAAUGUUAACAAUGGAUCUCUUCCAAAGAUUAAUUAUACAGCUGGUGAACAGCGCAACUCAAGUGCAAUGUCAUAUAAGUUGCCGGUUUCUCCACAAACUUCAGGUCAAUCCUCAGAGUGGUUAGCACAUAAAAGCACUCCAAAUGCUCGGGAAGCACUCAUUUCUACUCUGGCAGUGGCAAAAAAGUUUGAUGAUGUCAAGGGUAAAUCUGUUCAUGGAAGUCAACAGUUGUCUGACAAACAAUACGACUCCAAUGCAAACCCAUGGAAGAUGCCAGCUUCCCUGCUCACUACAGGUCAAUCAUCAGAGAAGAUAACACCUAAAAGCACACCAAAUUCAUCUCAGAAGGCACUGAUGUCUACUCUAGCAUUUGCAACAAUGUUUGAGUUUGGAAUGAAGAAAAAUCAGUCUGCUAUUAGAACUGCAGUUAAUAGUGAAACAGGGGAUAGCAGAACAGGUGAAGGAACAAAAACUGACACAGCAAAAACUUCGAAGCUUUUGGACAUUUUGUCUAGUGUUGGCAGCAAAAUAAAGUAGAAAUGAAUACCAACUUUAUAAUGGUUAAUAUCGCAGAAGCAUUUGAUUUGAAAACGGGUUUUGAUUUUGGGGUUUGGGGUGGGCAGGAUAUUGCACAGGUGAAUGAGAAUUGAUUAAAGCUGUAAAGAGGCAUUUCGGGUUAGUGUCAUCUGUAUAUCUGUUAUUAUAGACAUUCAUUUCAGUUAUUAAUUGACAGGGUUGAGGCCAACUGUUGAGCAUACAUAAUUCAUGGCGUAGGCAGGUUGUCAUCGCCCUGGCUUUACCAAUUGACGGAGGUGAAAUCCUUACUUUUCCCAAGAAAUUCAUUAGUCGACAUCUUCUCAUUCCAUAUUAUAAAAUCAGGCUAGUAGUAAUGUUGUCAGGUACACUAUCCAGCUAUCCAACGAGUUUAAAUCCAGCAUGGAGCAGCCUUUAAGAAUCUCAAGUUUUGAGCAAAAUAUCUGCGGCUGCAGACUUGCAGUAGGGUUUCUCUUAUCAUCUCCCCGCCAUUACUUUUUCAUGAGAAAGAUUGGUAUUCUCCUUUUUAGUGAUUUUAUGUUGGCUUUAAGCUAGUGGUGUGCAGCCCUCAAGACCUUUACAUUUUCCGACUACUGGCUUGAACCAAAAGAAGCAUCGUUGAUGAGCUUAUCGGUGGAAAGUGACAUCAGAAUCAUCUACGGUCAACAAAUAUUUAUAAUGAUAGGUGAAUGGUUCCUCAAGCUCGGACACCAUGAUUCGAGAGUGACAUGGCAAUGGUAUUGGGAGGUAUGAAUUACAGAUAGGGCAAAGGCAGGCGCAGAGGUAGACCCAUAAAACGAUGAUGGAUGACACACUUGACUUUGAAAGCAUCAAUCAUGAAUCCACUGUCGUUGCUUCAAUUCAAUGCCUUUACAUCUCGGCCGUAGUUAGAUGAAAUAAAAGCAUUUGAAGGAAAAUGAACAAAUUAAUUUUAUAAUUUGAUUAAGCUCUGUUAUGUAAUUAAUUGCCAUACCCGUAGAUGAUCAAAUAAGCACAUCCCCUGAAUUUUGUUCUUGUUGAUUAGUUGUGAAAGCCUAAAGUUGAUCGUGUAUUGUUUCAAUGAU